AAUUUUUCUUUGAUGUUAUCUAAUUGUCGCAACACGAUAAGACUGUGGCAGAUUAAACAUCGAAUAACCAUCGUAAGAAAAUACGCACAUUUUUAUGUACGACAGUGAUGACAUUAGGUUUUUUCCCAUUUGUUAAUGGGGAUCUGCUAUAAAAAAAUAUCUAUAAAAAAAUCUAUGGCGCGCAGCGAAAAAAACAUUUUCCAAUCGAAGAUACUGGUGCUCAGCAGGUGUAACCGGUCGCUAACAGCCAACGCAAGGAUAAUUGAUGUUCUUCCCCUUCCACAUAAUUGGAUAUAUAAGCUUUGCCCAGACAGGACGGUUUUAUUUGGAUGAACAUUUUUUUACUAUUUUUAUGACAUCUACUAUGCAGAGUCCAAUUUCAAUUAACCCAAUUUUAAUCCAAUUUUAACCCAAUUUUAAUCCAAUUUUAGAGGAAAAGAAGGAGGCAUUAGAGAAAUGGAAAAGACCAAAGACUCUCAUUUUGCACGAAGGCACCCAGCCAAUUGAAAAGAGCACCAGAGUCUCCGAUGUUGUUGUAUUGUUGGAGAAGGCAACAGUAUUUAUGUCGGAAGUACAAAAGUGCAACGAAUCGCAUAAACGGACACGUAUGCGAUAAUAGCGUACUCGCUAGAUAUCACUGAUUGCAACAGAAUUGAAAAUGAUAGCAAACCUCGAUCGAAAAAGAGGAACUGACCACUCACUGAGGAAUAAAAUGUUCUGACUAGAACGAAAAAACAGAUUGUGAAGAAGAAGUCAAGAGAAAGUCAAAAUGCAUAGUUAAAAUCAUCGAACUUUUCAACACAUCAUUUGUGCAGUUUAAUUAAAUAAUGGAGAUUAAAUAAUUAAUGGAAUGAUUUCAAAAGUGUGAUAGGUUAUGUAUCACGACUUUCGUGCAACUAUGAAAAUAUUUUGUUUUCGGGUAAUCGAUGAUUCAUGACUGUACAUCGCUCGACAUAUUUCGAUGAACUUCAAGCAUAUCUUCUUCGUUCAAUUCGAUAAUCGAAAUCGCAGUGUCAGAGAUGUCAUUUUUCCGUCAAGAAUCGUGUUUUUGGAUGUUUCGCUUCAGGUUAUUAGUUUGCUAUAAGACAGGAAAAAGUAAUUUCAAUAUGAACAAUCAUUUCAACAAUCAUUCAACGCGAUGAUUAAUCAGAUAAGCGAUAAAAUUUGAUUUUUUAUAAGGAAAAUAUAUACAUUUUUAUUUUCUUC